UGGCUGGGGGCUCAAACCCAGGAACUGCAAGGUCAUUACCUGAGCUGAAGUCGGAAGCUUAACCGACUGAGCCGCCCAGGCGCCCCCUAGGAUUCCGUAUUUUAAGGUUCUGUUUCUGUAUUGGUUGAUAACAUCCCAGGGUGCAGUGAUCACAUUGGCUUAAUUUUUUCUCCUGCACAAAUGUGAGGUUUCUGAUUUUUGGUCCAAGAAAGGCAUCUUGGUUUCCAGACAGUAGUGAAGGAGGAAGAAGGACUCCGUGGAUUUAUCUCCCGUCUUGUCUUCAGGAAUGAGCUUUUCCCUCCCAUCCCUAUUCAUUUUGGAGAUGGUACAAGUGAGCUCCGUUUCUGGAACUAUCGAUGAAAGCAGAGCCUUUCGCCUGGGACGUUUCAGCAUUGCAGAGGCUGUUCUGGUUGUUAACACGUGGUGGAAGUCAGUAAUUGACACAGCUGUGUCCUGAGUCACUGAACCUCCGUGGCCUCAGUGGUUUCCGUUACGAAGGAAGUUGGAUGAUCUUUGAGGGUUUUUUUCCCCCAGACUGAGUUGUUCAUCUGUUGAGAGUCAAGAAGUGAACACAGGCAAGGGCUCUGUCCCUCGGCUGCUCUCCUUGGAUUUGUAGACUGGGGGGGGGGGGGCUGCCAAAGCUGGAGAGGCGUCACAGUGUAGUCAGAAGUACCCUAUCAGUUAACACUCAUCAAGGGAGGCUUAUGUUCUGGAGGCUUCCGUGCAGUUAUUUUCUCAUUCAGUGAUCUUGCCGCACCAUCCCGGCUGUGCAAGGAGGAGAACGAGACAAGCAGAACAAGGGAAGUAGAAAAGGAAGAGAAGGGAAUGGAGAGGCAUAAAUGCCGUAUCAGUGUGGGUGGGAUAGUUGAGUGCUGAAGGAAGUGAGCUCCCAGCAGAUUGAAGAGCCACUGCCUGGCGGGCUUGUGUCUGCGUGAGUCUGAGACACCAGGGUAACCUGGCUGAUGAUCUGACGGGGAAAAAAGGGCAGUGGCACUUUGCCUGUUGAAGGGUCUUACUGUGCCCAGCCCCACGUCUUGGCAUUGCGUAUGCUCAUCACAGCCAAACACCAGUAACAGACUGUGUCUCUGAGAACUGCCUCUGACCUAACGUGGUUCCCUAACCCAUGUCAGAAGAAGAUUAAGUCAUGAACUGAAAUAAAGGAAUUGGGACUUUUAUCAAGUUUUGGAGGCCUGAAGCACAGUACUUAGCGCCUCUAGGGCUGUAGGCCACCAGCCCUGCUCUGUUUGGCGUGGAGCUGCAGAAACCCUGGGAGGCUUGGUUUCCCCUCAUACGCCUCCGGCUCCCAGUUGCCUUCAGGCACUCACUUACCUCUCUAAACUUUUCCACCUCUGCAGGGGGCGCGGUCACACCUACUUUUUUAGGGCGGAUGGUGAGGAUUGGAGGAGGUGACAGAGGAGCACCCACCCAGCAGGUGCACCACCUUCUGUGCUCCUUUGUCUAAAUUUCCUGUUGCAGUAAAAUGCCUUUGUGAUGUCUUCAUGGUCUCAUGAUUCCUCCACAUCAGGCCCUGGUCCUUUCGUGCGGGCUGAAUCCCUGCAGCAGGCGGCUUCAUUCACGGUGUGGAAGUUCUCGUAGCCUCAUCACCCUUCCUGGUGCAUCUCCUUGCUGAGCUUCCCCGUUUGGGUUUCUCCCUGGUUUUAAUAUCUUUCUUAUAGCUUACCUUACUUGUGAGUCCACUUUGGCUUUUGAUAGGGAUGUUUCAAUAAUUUGGCUUAUUAGCAAGUUAAUAACCAUUGACAAUUUACCCUGGGGAAUGGCCUGCCUCAUCAUGAGGGACAGCAUGGUUGAAAUAACACGGGUGUUGUCACCUGUAUAUCUAUUUUCAUUAUAAUAGAAUAUUGGGGAUGAUCCAAAUCUUUGCUUAUGUUGGUUUUUUUUUUUGUUUUGUUAAUAUAAUCAAUAUUGGGUUCUUGACUGUACUUAGAAUUUGUUGUCUUAAUAUGGUGGCUUUUCUUGAGCUUAUUUUUGUUCUAAUGGCUUUUGACAUAUAAUAGUGAAAAAUCUAAGUCGUCUUUGGUCUUGUCCUUAACUGGUGUUAAAUACUGUUAGCUUAUGGUGAAAACUGGCAUUUUCUUCUUUGAGGACUGAAGAAAAUACAGGAUCUGGAAGAGUACUUGCUUUCUUUGGCCUGACAAAAAUACUAAUCCUUGGUUGAUCGAAGAUAAAUUAUAGUAUCCUUUGCUUUUAAAAUUUUAUGUGGCUUAAUCUUAGAAUCAUGUUUGUUUUUGAGGCCGUAAUAGUUUCAGUGGCCCAAAUUGUCUCAGGCAAGAAAUGGUUAGGGAAUUGGUGGGGGUGGGAGUGGAGGCAUUGACAGCAAUAGCUGUGAAAAUUCUUCAUGUGUUUCUGCAGUGAAUUUAGUUCCUGUUUAUCCUGUUUGAAUCCUAUUUUAAUGGGACAUUUAAGCGGAUAAGCAAAGGCAGCAAGCUAGCCCUUUAGCCCACAUCCAGGUCCCUUCCCACCUGUAAUGCCACCGUGAGAAAAUGGCCCAUCACAUGGCAGAAGGUGUUCAUCUUCUCUCACUUUUCACUGCCUCCGGGGGACCUGCUUUCAGCAGCUGGCUCUUCGGGGAAGACAGACGUCAUUUUCUUAGUGGCUGUGUUCAAAACCACCCAAAGGAAGAGGCUUGCAAGGCUGGAUUCAGUCAUCUAGUUUGUGGGUCACAGUGUUCUGAGAAGGGGUAUCAUGCCCAAAGUGCCAGCUGUUUAACAGUAAUGCCCCCUGGAUCGUGCCUGGAACUGGUGAGCCAAAGGAUGUUGGGGCUGGAACAGAGGAGGCAGGAGAAAAGGAAAGCAGGGUGACUUUGCCUGGUGGAGCCGGCUGCAGAAGGUGUGUGUGCAUCCGAGGACUAGACCC